rnacentral:rRNA from 1 species
UAAUGCCGGAUGCUCCGACUCCUCGCAUGGGGUGUCGGGAAAGAUUUCAUCGGUAUGGGAUGGGGUCGCGUCCUAUCAGGUAGUCGGCGGGGUAACGGCCCACCGAGCCUACGACGGGUAGCCGGCCUGAGAGGGCGACCGGCCACAUUGGGACUGAGAUACGGCCCAGACUCCUACGGGAGGCAGCAGUGGGGAAUAUUGCACAAUGGGCGCAAGCCUGAUGCAGCGACGCCGCGUGCGGGAUGACGGCCUUCGGGUUGUAAACCGCUUUUGAUCGGGAGCAAGCCUUCGGGUGAGUGUACCUUUCGAAUAAGCACCGGCUAACUACGUGCCAGCAGCCGCGGUAAUACGUAGGGUGCAAGCGUUAUCCGGAAUUAUUGGGCGUAAAGGGCUCGUAGGCGGUUCGUCGCGUCCGGUGUGAAAGUCCAUCGCUUAACGGUGGAUCUGCGCCGGGUACGGGCGGGCUGGAGUGCGGUAGGGGAGACUGGAAUUCCCGGUGUAACGGUGGAAUGUGUAGAU